rnacentral:rRNA from 1 species
GACGAACGCUGCCGGCGUGCUUAACACAUGCAAGUCGAAGGGAGUGGCGAACGGGUGAGUAACACGUGAGUAACCUGCCCUUUUCUUUGGGAUAAGCCUGGGAAACUGGGUCUAAUACUGGAUGGUUUGGGAUGGGCUCGCGGCUUAUCAGCUUGGUGGUGGGGUGAUGGCUUACCAAGGCUUUGACGGGUAGUCGGCCUGAGAGGGUCGUCGUUCACACUGGGACUGUGGUACGGCGCAUCAGCCGACGAGAAGCAACAGUGGGUGAUAUCAUGGCACAGAAGCAACUCCACUGCGGCGAUGUCGUGUGGGGCAUGAGCGCCUUCGGGUACUAACCUCCUUUCGCCCUUGGAAUCGUAGUCGCUCAUGAAGCGCCGGCUAACUACGUGCCGGCAGCCGCGGUAAUUC